GACGAACGCUGGCGGCGUGCUUAACACAUGCAAGUCGAACGGAAAGGCCCCUUUGGGGGUACUCGAGUAGCGCACGGGUGCGUAACACGUGAGUAACCUGCCCUUGACUUCGGGAUAACUUCAGGAAACUGGGGCUAAUACCGGCUAGGAAUCCUUGCUGCAUGGUGGGGGUUGGAAAGCUUCGGCGGUUUUGGAUGGACUCGCGGCUUAUCAGCUUGUUGGUGGGGUAGUGGCUUACCAAGGCUUUGACGGGUAGCCGGCCUGAGAGGGCGACCGGCCACAUUGGGACUGAGAUACGGCCCAGACUCCUACGGGAGGCAGCAGUGGGGAAUAUUGCACAAUGGGCGGAAGCCUGAUGCAGCAACGCCGCGUGCGGGAUGACGGCCUUCGGGUUGUAAACCGCUUUCAGCAGGGGCGAAGCUUGUGGUGACGGUACCUGCAGAAGAAGCACCGGCUAACUACGUG
rnacentral:rRNA from 1 species